rnacentral:lncRNA from 1 species
GGCUUUCGGGCCGAUGGCCCCAUUCUUCGGGCAGCGAGGGGCGACCUUGAGCACUGGCGUGUCUUCUCCUCCUUCGCAGGCGAGUGCUCCUUAUUCAGCAUCUUCUUUCCUCCCCCCAAGGAGAACCAAUGGGGGCCUCAUCCUCUGUGAAGGCCUUUUCUAUGUGGGUGUUCUUCUCCGCACUAGCUAACAUGUUGGAAAUGUUUCGAGGAUAAGUUUUCACCAAUGACUUCUUCAAG